rnacentral:rRNA from 1 species
UACGUAGGGUGCGAGCGUUGUCCGGAAUUAUUGGGCGUAAAGAGCUCGUAGGCGGUUUGUCACGUCUGCUGUGAAAUCCCGAGGCUCAACCUCGGGCCUGCAGUGGGUACGGGCAGACUGGAGUGCGGUAGGGGAGAUCGGAAUUCCUGGUGUAGCGGUGAAAUGCGCAGAUAUCAGGAGGAACACCGGUGGCGAAGGCGGGUCUCUGGGCCGAUACUGACGCUGAGGAGCGAAAGCGUGGGGAGCGAACAGG